rnacentral:rRNA from 1 species
AAAUUUGAAAUCUCCUUCGGGCGAGUUGUAAUUUGCAGAGGAUGCUUCGGGCGCGGCGCCUUCCAAGUCCCCUGGAACGGGGCGCCAGAGAGGGUGAGAGCCCCGUCCGGUCGGCCGCCAAGCCUGUGUGAAGCUCCUUCGACGAGUCGAGUAGUUUGGGAAUGCUGCUCUAAACGGGAGGUAGACCCCUUCUAAAGCUAAAUACCGGCCAGAGACCGAUAGCGCACAAGUAGAGUGAUCGAAAGAUGAAAAGCACUUUGAAAAGAGGGUUAAACAGUACGUGAAAUUGUUGAAAGGGAAGCGCUUGUGACCAGACGUGCGGCGGGUGCUCAGCAGGCGUUCUCGCCUGUGCACUCGCCCGCCGCAGGCCAGCGUCGGUUCGGUUGGGGGGAGAAAGACGCCGGGAACGUGGCUCCCCCGGGAGUGUUAUAGCCCGGCGUGCCAUGCCCCCGCCCGGACCGAGGUUCGCGCUCCGCAAGGACGCUGGCGUAAUGGUCUCCAGCGGCCCGUCUUGAAACACGGACCAAGGAGUCGAGGUUUUGCGCGAGUGUUUGGGUGUCAAACCCGCACGCGUAAUGAAAGUGAACGUAGGUGGGAGCCUCGGCGCACCACCGACCGAUCCUGAUGUUUUCGGAUGGAUUUGAGUACGAGCGCAAAGCUUCGGACCCGAAAGAUGGUGAACUAUACGUGGAUAGGGUGAAGCCAGAGGAAACUCUGGUGGAGGCUCGCAGCGGUUCUGACGUGCAAAUCGAUCGUCAAAUCUGCGUAUGGGGGCGAAAGACUAAUCGAACCAUCUAGUAGCUGGUUACCGCCGAAGUUUCCCUCAGGAUAGCAGUGUUGAUCUCAGUUUUAUGAGGUAAAGCGAAUGAUUAGGGACUCGGGGGCGCUUUUUAGCCUUCAUCCAUUCUCAAACUUUAAAUAUGUAAGAAGCCCUUGUUGCUUAGUUGAACGUGGGCCUUCGAAUGCAGCAACACUAGUGGGCCAUUUUUGGUAAGCAGAACUGGCGAUGUGGGAUGAACCAUACGGGGGGUUAAGGUGCCGGAGUGGACGCUCAUCAGACACCACAAAAGGUGUUAGCACAUCUUGACAGCAGGACGGUGGCCAUGGAAGUCGGAAUCCGCUAAGGACUGUGUAACAACUCACCUGCCGAAUGUGCUAGCCCUGAAAAUGGAUGGCGCUCAAGCGUCCCACCC